GUGGUCGAUGAAGAAAGGAAACGAAGACAAGUGCCUGAUGGAGAUCUGAAAAGAAAACAACCGAGCAGUAAGAGCGCUGAGAGCAGUUCUGAAGGUAAAUAAU